ACUACACGUUAUUACGCAUCUCUUAUAAUGAAAUAAAUAUUAAAAUCUAAAAUAUAUGAGACAUUAUAAAAUUGGUCAAAUAAUAAAAACUCAUUUACAUUCCUAUUAACCAUACAAAUUCAAACCAAAAGCUAAAAGACUCUCUUUUAUAUCUCCUACUGAUUCUGAACUAGAUGCUGGUCUUUCUUGAUUUGAAAUGAGGGGUUUGAAUCAGGAUGAGCUCUUCGUGCUCAGUAAAAAUGGGACAAUAAUCUAUAACGGAGACAUGUACGCAUGCAUUCACACAAGUAAAAAAAACAUAUAUAAAUUUUCAUUUAAGAAAAACACUAAGCAGAAACAAUCAUAACAAAAUAGAGUUUGAUUAUUUUACGUAGUAGUCUACAAUGAAUUUUGUACAUACAUGGCACGGAAACAUAGCACUCUAUAAUGAAUACUGUACAUACAUAUCAUUUCUGUGCCUUAUUCCUAUUUCAUAUUUAUAUUUUCUUUUAUUCGCAUAUGUUACUAAUCUCCUCAUAUCUUUCUUUCAUGUUUAUUAUAAAUUUUAUUUUCUUACUUGUGAUAAAUUCCUACUUAAGUCUUAUCUACUUAAAUCUUUUUUACUUUCAUAUUGAUUCAUCUAAUUUUCAAAAAUGGAUUCUUACACAUCAUAUGCAUAUUCAUAUGUUUCACAUAAUGAAAUUCCUAUAUAUUAGAGUUAGAUAAGAUUUCAUAUAUACAUACACAUUCAUAUUUACAUCAUUUUGGACUUACACAUUCAUACAUAUAAAUCUUUUAAAGCUUAUUAAGGAUUUUUAUCGCGUGAUACCAUUUAUGUCAUUAUUAAAGAGAGGCAGUAAGGAUCCACCUCAUUACAUAAUAGAUAGGCCAGACAUGCAAAAUAUAAAUAAAUAUCAUAUUGAUCACAACGAUACGUCACUAGGUGACCCAUAUUAAAUCAUAUUACAUACAUGUAUAUCUAUGUCUAAAUAGGUUCCAGAUCAUCCAUUCACGAGUGGGGUUCACCACCAGACCUUCGAGUUUUAGUCACACAUACACACUCCCAUCCUCGAUUCAUGACUAAAUGAGUUAAGUUUUGAUGUCCUUUAAUACUUUCAAAUUUUCAAUCUUUGUAAGGUUUUCCACGUUUUUCCACUUAGUUGACAUGCAAAAGAUUUAUAAAUUUGUCUUGAUUCCUAAUUAUUUCAAUUUUCUUUAUAUUUUAACGCUGAUUUUACAAUUCCAAUGUUCUAUCUAAUCCUUGGUUUAUUAAUAUCUCCAAUUAUUUUUCUAUUUCUAAUGGUUUUGUAUAUGUAAAGGCCUAACAUUUAAAAGGACAUGAAUUUGUAUUUUGAAUGCAGAAGCAAAUAAUAAUGUUAGGAUUUACAUUUCUUAUACAGUAAAUUAGAAUACUCAAUAGGGAUACGGGAAUAUCCUUUCUACAACGGUUUCGUAAAAAAAAAUGAAUAAAUGAUUAAAACAAGUAAAUAAAUAUCAUAGGGUUAACCUCCACUAACACUUGAUGAGGUCCGGAAGGUAAUUUACUUACAACUCUUAUACUGAUCAGGAUAUGGAUCUUGAUCUGAAAUGGUUAGUAGAAGAUGAGCUACACUAGCCCAGUAAGAAUAUCAACCUAAUAACUGAUACGGAAAAUCGAAGGUUGGUAAAAAUUAUAAAAUAACUAAGAAAGCUCUUAAUUUGAGUAAAUUUAUUAAUAUAA
rnacentral:lncRNA from 1 species